AGAGUUUGAUCCUGGCUCAGGACGAACGCUGGCGGCGUGCCUAAUACAUGCAAGUCGUACGCUUCUUUUUCCACCGGAGCUUGCUCCACUGGAAAAAGAAGAGUGGCGAACGGGUGAGUAACACGUGGGUAACCUGCCCAUCAGAAGGGGAUAACACUUGGAAACAGGUGCUAAUACCGUAUAACAAUCGAAACCGCAUGGUUUUGAUUUGAAAGGCGCUUUCGGGUGUCGCUGAUGGAUGGACCCGCGGUGCAUUAGCUAGUUGGUGAGGUAACGGCUCACCAAGGCCACGAUGCAUAGCCGACCUGAGAGGGUGAUCGGCCACAUUGGGACUGAGACACGGCCCAAACUCCUACGGGAGGCAGCAGUAGGGAAUCUUCGGCAAUGGACGAAAGUCUGACCGAGCAACGCCGCGUGAGUGAAGAAGGUUUUCGGAUCGUAAAACUCUGUUGUUAGAGAAGAACAAGGAUGAGAGUAACUGUUCAUCCCUUGACGGUAUCUAACCAGAAAGCCACGGCUAACUACGUGCCAGCAGCCGCGGUAAUACGUAGGUGGCAAGCGUUGUCCGGAUUUAUUGGGCGUAAAGCGAGCGCAGGCGGUUUCUUAAGUCUGAUGUGAAAGCCCCCGGCUCAACCGGGGAGGGUCAUUGGAAACUGGGAGACUUGAGUGCAGAAGAGGAGAGUGGAAUUCCAUGUGUAGCGGUGAAAUGCGUAGAUAUAUGGAGGAACACCAGUGGCGAAGGCGGCUCUCUGGUCUGUAACUGACGCUGAGGCUCGAAAGCGUGGGGAGCAAACAGGAUUAGAUACCCUGGUAGUCCACGCCGUAAACGAUGAGUGCUAAGUGUUGGAGGGUUUCCGCCCUUCAGUGCUGCAGCUAACGCAUUAAGCACUCCGCCUGGGGAGUACGACCGCAAGGUUGAAACUCAAAGGAAUUGACGGGGGCCCGCACAAGCGGUGGAGCAUGUGGUUUAAUUCGAAGCAACGCGAAGAACCUUACCAGGUCUUGACAUCCUUUGACCACUCUAGAGAUAGAGAUUCCCCUUCGGGGGCAAAGUGACAGGUGGUGCAUGGUUGUCGUCAGCUCGUGUCGUGAGAUGUUGGGUUAAGUCCCGCAACGA
rnacentral:rRNA from 1 species